rnacentral:rRNA from 1 species
UACGGAGGUGGCGAGCGUUGUUCGGAAUUACUGGGCGUAAAGGGCGCGUAGGCGGUGCGGUGCGGUUUCGGUGAAAUCCCUCGGCCCAACCGAGGAACAGCCGGAGCAACGGCCGCGCUAGACGGCAUCAGGGGACAGUGGAACUCCCGGUGGAGCGGUGAAAUGCGUAGAUAUCAGGAGGAACACCGGUGGCGAAGGCGGGUCUCUGGGCCGAUACUGACGCUGAGGAGCGAAAGCGUGGGGAGCGAACAGG